UACGUAGGGGGCAAGCGUUGUCCGGAUUUAUUGGGCGUAAAGAGCGUGUAGGCGGCUAUACAGGUCCGCUGUGAAAACUCGAGGCUCAACCUCGAGACGCCGAUGGAAACCAUCUGACUAGAGUCCGGAAGAGGAGAGUGGAAUUCCUGGUGUAGCGGUGAAAUGCGCAGAUAUCAGGAAGAACACCCGUGGCUAAGGCGGCUCUCUAGUACGGUACUGACGCUGAGACGCGAAAGCGUGGGGAGCGAACAGG
rnacentral:rRNA from 1 species